rnacentral:rRNA from 1 species
CAAUGGCGUAUAUUAAAGUUGUUGCGGUUAAAAAGUUCGUAGUUGGAUUUCUGCCAAGGACGACCGGUCCGCCCUCUGGGUGAGUAUCUGGCUUGGCCUGGGCAUCUUCUUGGAGAACGUUGCUGCACUUCACUGUGUGGCGCGGUACCCAGGACCUUUACUUUGAGGAAAUUAGAGUGUUUCAAGCAGGCUUUCGCCUUGAAUACAUUAGCAUGGAAUAAUAAGAUAGGACCUCGGUUCUAUUUUGUUGGUUUCUAGAGCUGGGGUAAUGAUUAAUAGGGAUAGUUGGGGGCAUUCGUAUUUAACUGUCAGAGGUGAAAUCCUUGGAUUUGUUAAAGACGGACUACUGCGAAAGCAUUUGCCAAGGAUGUUUUCAUUGA